rnacentral:rRNA from 1 species
GAAGGGCGUACUAAUCUGCGAUAAGCGCCGGUAAGGUGAUAUGAACCGUUAUAACCGGCGAUACCCGAAUGGGGAAACCCAGUGUGAUUCGUCACACUAUCAUUAACUGAAUCCAUAGGUUAAUGAGGCGAACCGGGGGAACUGAAACAUCUAAGUACCCCGAGGAAAAGAAAUCAACCGAGAUUCCCCCAGUAGCGGCGAGCGAACGGGGAGGAGCCCAGAGCCUGAAUCAGCAUGUGUGUUAGUGGAAGCGUCUGGAAAGGCGCGCGAUACAGGGUGACAGCCCCGUACACAAAAGCGCAUGUGCUGUGAGCUCGAUGAGUAGGGCGGGACACGUGGUAUCCUGUCUGAAUAUGGGGGGACCAUCCUCCAAGGCUAAAUACUCCUGACUGACCGAUAGUGAACCAGUACCGUGAGGGAAAGGCGAAAAGAACCCCGGCGAGGGGAGUGAAAAAGAACCUGAAACCGUGUACGUACAAGCAGUGGGAGC